UACGGAGGAUCCGAGCGUUAUCCGGAUUUAUUGGGUUUAAAGGGUGCGUAGGUGGAUUGGUAAGUCAGUGGUGAAAGUUUGCAGCUUAACUGUAAAAUUGCCGUUGAAACUGCCGGUCUUGAGUGCAAAUGAGGUGGGCGGAAUGCGUCGUGUAGCGGUGAAAUGCUUAGAUAUCACGAGGAACUCCGAUUGCGCAGGCAGCUUACUAAACUACUACUGACGCUCAGGCACGAAGGCGUGGGGAUCAAACAGGAUUAGAUACCCUAGUA
rnacentral:rRNA from 1 species